rnacentral:misc_RNA from 1 species
CAGGGAUACCUCUAAAUCCUAUUCAAAUCUUCGGUCGCCGACUCCUCCACCAGUGACUUUCUCAACUUCUCGCUUCGAGACCGUCAAUGGAUCGCAUGAGUUCAAGAUCAAUGGGUAUUCCCUUAAUAAAGGGAUGGGGAUUGGGAAAUACAUCGCGUCUGAUACCUUUAUGGUUGGGGGGUAUGCGUUUGCUAUAUAUUUCUACCCAGACGGGAAGAGCGUCGAGGAUAACGCGUCGUAUGUCUCGGUUUUUAUAGCCUUGGCUAGCGAAGGGACUGACGUUCGAGCCCUUUUCGAAUUGACGCUGUUGGAUCAAAGUGGGAAGGAGAACCACAAGGUGCAUAGCCAUUUCGAGAGAAGGCUCGAGAGUGGUCCUUAUACGCUUAAAUAUCGAGGAAGCAUGUGGGGGUAUAAACGUUAUUUUAAAAGAACUGUUUUAGAAACAUCCGACUUCCUAAAGGACGACUGCCUUGAAAUCCACUGUGUAGUUGGUGUUGUUAAGUCCCACACAGAGGGACCCAAGAUUUACUCCAUAACAGCACCACCCUCUGAUAUAGGUCAGCAUUUUGGGAAGCUUUUGGAGAGUGGG